UACGAAGGGGGCUAGCGUUGCUCGGAAUCACUGGGCGUAAAGGGUGCGUAGGCGGGUCUUAAGUCAGGGGUGAAAUCCUGGAGCUCAACUCCAGAACUGCCUUUGAUACUGAAGAUCUUGAGUUCGGGAGAGGUGAGUGGAACUGCGAGUGUAGAGGUGAAAUUGUAGAUAUUCGCAAGAACACCAGUGGCGAAGGCGGCUCACUGGCCCGAUACUGACGC
rnacentral:rRNA from 1 species